rnacentral:rRNA from 1 species
AUUGAACGCUGGCGGCAGGCUUAACACAUGCAAGUCGAGCGGGGUGAUGGUGCUUGCACUAUCACUUAGCGGCGGACGGGUGAGUAAUGCUUAGGAAUCUGCCUAUUAGUGGGGGACAACAUCUCGAAAGGGAUGCUAAUACCGCAUACGUCCUACGGGAGAAAGCAGGGGAUCACUUGUGACCUUGCGCUAAUAGAUGAGCCUAAGUCGGAUUAGCUAGUUGGUGGGGUAAAGGCCUACCAAGGCGACGAUCUGUAGCGGGCUGGAGAGGAUGAUCCGCCACACUGGGACUGAGACAAGGCCCAGACUCCUACGGGAGGCAGCAGUGGGGAAUAUUGGACAAUGGGGGGAACCCUGAUCCAGCCAUGCCGCGUGUGUGAAGAAGGCCUUAUGGUUGUAAAGCACUUUAAGCGAGGAGGAGGCUCUUUUGGUUAACAUCCAAGAUGAGUGGACGUUACUCGCAGAAUAAGCACCGGCUAACUCUGUGCCAGCAGCCGCCGUAA